CGUACUGGGGUACGUUGUAGCGUAGCGAGAGCAGCGGUACAUUUUUUGUGCAAUAUACGAAAGUAAGACACAGAGAGGGCACCUUUUCUAGUCCGUCAAAUUAAGUGCCAGCAGACGCGGUGAAACUUAAGGGCUAGUCUUAUAGGCAAAAGCGUAAAGGGUGUGAUAGGCCGCCUUAUUUAAGAGAGUAAAUGGAAUUUUUCUGUAAUGGUGGUAUGUGUAAAUAGGAAAAAGAACUUUAGACGUGAAGACUAUUUACUUCUAAGAUUAUAAUGUGUUGGCUAAAACACGAGAGUGUGGGGAGCAAACAGGAUUAGGUACCCUGGUAGUCCAUACUGUAAAUAAUGAAAAAGAUGUGAAGCAAUUCUAAAAGGUAAGAACUUUUCCGCUUGAGUAGUACGAUCGCAAGAUUAAAAUUCAAAAAACUUGGCUGUUCACUGUUUUGAUUAGAGGAGCGUGUCGUUUAAUUCGAUAGUCCGCGAGAGACCUUACCCAAACUUGAAUCCCUCAUUGACAGGUAUUGCAUGGCCGUCGUCAAUUUGUGUAUUAAACAUAAAACAAAUUCAACCCAGUGGUUUGUCUAUUGGAUGAAGUCAGGUCUUAUUGUCCUAAUGUUUGGGGAUUAGAUGCGCUACAUUUUUUUAUACAAUGGGAAACUUUGAAUGUGAAACCCAAAAAUAAGAGUUCGGAAGGUGCCUGGAAUAUAACGGAAAGUUGGAUUUAAUAGUAAUUGAAAAGUAGAGCGUUUCAAUGAAGUUUAUUCAGUGUUAGUACAAAUUGCCCGUCGCCUUUGCUUAGAAAGGUUGUUUGGUUGCCCCUCAAGAGGGUUCCUAAUAUCUUCGAGGUAGAGUAAGUCGUAACAUAGUAGGGAGAGGAGGACACAC
rnacentral:rRNA from 1 species